GACCCCAGGUCAGGCGGGACUAC
rnacentral:rRNA from 1 species